rnacentral:lncRNA from 13 species
UCUGAAUCUAGAUCUUGUAUUUAGAACCAGUUAUGGGAAGUGGAACAUAUAGUUUCAAAACAUGUAUUUUCCCUUAUAGUACAUUUGGAGGACCACAGUCAACAAAUACUUGUGGAAUAUUUCAAUUCCAGGGGAAUGUCUCAUUUUUCAUGAGAUCCAUGCCAAGAACUACUUAUUUUAGUUCAGAUCAUCUGAUUCUUGCUAAUUACUUAAGGGAAAAUGAUCAUGUAAAAAACACCUGGAAAGAAGUACAGAUGAACUACUGGACCCCAAAAGAAUAUUUCAG